UCGUCCCUACGGGGGGCAGCAGUCGAGAAUCAUUCACAAUGGGGGAAACCCUGAUGGUGCGACGCCGCGUGAAGGAAGACGGUUUUCGGAUUGUAAACUUCUGUUCUUAGUGAAGAAAAAUGACGGUAGCUAAGGAGCAAGCCACGGCUAACUACGUGCCAGCAGCCGCGGUAAUACGUAGGGGGCAAGCGUUAUCCGGAAUUACUGGGUGUAAAGGGUGAGUAGGCGGCAUGGUAAGCCAGAUGUGAAAGCCUUGGGCUUAACCCGAGGAUUGCAUUUGGAACUAUCAAGCUAGAGUACAGGAG
rnacentral:rRNA from 1 species